UACGUAGGGUGCGAGCGUUGUCCGGAAUUACUGGGCGUAAAGAGCUCGUAGGUGGUUUGUCGCGUUGUCCGUGAAAACUCACAACUCAAUUGUGGGCGUGCGGGCGAUACGGGCGGACUGGAGUACUGCAGGGGAGACUGGAAUUCCUGGUGUAGCGGUGGAAUGCGCAGAUAUCAGGAGGAACACCGGUGGCGAAGGCGGGUCUCUGGGCAGUAACUGACGCUGAGGAGCGAAAAGCGUGGGGGAGCGAACAGG
rnacentral:rRNA from 1 species